UGAGGAAUAUUGGUCAAUGGGCGAGAGCCUGAACCAGCCAAGUCGCGUGAGGGAAGACGGUCCUAUGGAUUGUAAACCUCUUUUGCCGGGGAGCAAAGAGCGGCACGUGUGCCGCCGCCGAGAGUACCCGGAGAAAAAGCAUCGGCUAACUCCGUGCC
rnacentral:rRNA from 1 species